rnacentral:rRNA from 1 species
AACGAACGCUGGCGGCAGGCCUAACACAUGCAAGUCGAACGAGAAGCCACCUUCGGGUGGUGGACAGUGGCAGACGGGUGAGUAACGCGUGGGAACGUGCCUUUCGGUUCGGGAUAACCCAGGGAAACUUGGGCUAAUACCGGAUACGCCCUUCGGGGGAAAGAUUCAUUGCCGAAAGAUCGGCCCGCGUCGGAUUAGCUAGUUGGUGGGGUAAAAGCCUACCAAGGCGACGAUCCGUAGCUGGUCUGAGAGGAUGACCAGCCACACUGGGACUGAGACACGGCCCAGACUCCUACGGGAGGCAGCAGUGGGGAAUAUUGGACAAUGGGCGCAAGCCUGAUCCAGCCAUGCCGCGUGGGUGAAGAAGGCCUUAGGGUUGUAAACCCCUUUCAGCGGGGAAGAUAAUGACGGUACCCGCAGAAGAAGUCCCGGCUAACUCCGUGCCAGCCGCCGCAGUAA